CCUACGGGAGGCUGCAGUCGAGGAUCUUCGGCAAUGGGCGCAAGCCUGACCGAGCGACGCCGCGUGUGCGAUGAAGGCCUUCGGGUUGUAAAGCACUGUCGAGGGGGAGAAAAGCCGCAAGGUUUGAUCUAUCCCUGGAGGAAGCACGGGCUAAGUUCGUGCCAGCAGCCGCGGUAAGACGAACCGUGCGAACGUUGUUCGGAAUCACUGGGCGUAAAGGGCGCGUAGGCGGAUUAUCAAGUCUGGGGUGAAAUCCUCCGGCUUAACCGGAGAACGGCCUUGGAUACUGAUGGUCUCGAGGGAGAUAGGGGCACGCGGAACUGUGGGUGGAGCGGUGAAAUGCGUUGAUAUCCAUAGGAACUCCGGUGGCGAAGGCGGCGUGCUGGAUCUCUUCUGACGCUGAGGCGCGAAAGCCAGGGGAGCAAACGGGAUUAGAUACCCUAGUAGUC
rnacentral:rRNA from 1 species